rnacentral:lncRNA from 1 species
CAAGAUCUAUUUGCCCUGAAAUUGUCAGAUGAAUCGGACAACCUGUUGUUAGGUUGCUGCCCCUGAAUUGGUAAUUUUAGGGAAAUUUUGCUGUUUUUGGUUAUUAUCUUGAAUAUUAUUAUAGAUAGAGAUAAACUGUAAACAGCAAUAAUGUUCAGCAAAGUAAGAUUUACAAAUAAGUCAACAUGACCAAAAUGGUCAGUUGACCCCUUUAGGAGUUAUUGCCCUUUAUAGUCAAUUUUUAACCGUUUUUCGUAAAUCUUAGUAAUCUUUUAGAAAAAUCUUCUCCUCUAAAACUACUUGGCCAAAUUUAACCAAACUUGGCCACAAUCAUCAUUGGAGUCUCUAGUUUAAAGCAUGUGUCCGGU